GACAGAGGAUGCAAGCGUUGUCCGGAGUUAUUGGGCGUAAAGCGCGCGCAGGCGGUGCGGUAAGUCUCUGGUGAAAGCGCUCGGCUUAACUGGGCGAGGGCCGGGGAGACUGCCACGCUGGAGGGGAGCAGAGGCGAGUGGAAUUCCGGGUGUAGUGGUGAAAUGCGUAGAGAUCCGGAGGAACACCAGUGGCGAAGGCGGCUCGCUGGGCUCUACCUGACGCUGAGGCGCGAAAGCGUGGGGAGCGAACCGG
rnacentral:rRNA from 1 species